UACUGUGGCCAAACCUUCUUUUCAAAGCCUGAUCUCGUCAGACCUCAGAAGCUAAGUGGAGCUGGGCCUGGUUAGUACUUGGAUGUGAAACCACUGGGAAUUCAAGGGAGGCCUGUCACGAUAA
rnacentral:rRNA from 1 species